rnacentral:rRNA from 1 species
UCAACCUAAGAGUUUGAUCCUGGCUCAGAACGAACGCUGGCGGCAGGCCUAACACAUGCAAGUCGAACGAGAAGCCGCCCUUCGGGGCGGUGGAAAGUGGCGCACGGGUGAGUAACGCGUGGGAACCUACCCUGAGGUACGGAAUAACGGCUGGAAACGGCUGCUAAUACCGUAUGUGCCCUACGGGGGAAAGAUUUAUCGCCUUGGGACGGGCCCGCGUCGGAUUAGCUUGUUGGUAGGGUAACGGCCUACCAAGGCUCCGAUCCGUAGCUGGUCUGAGAGGAUGAUCAGCCACACUGGAACUGAGACACGGUCCAGACUCCUACGGGAGGCAGCAGUGGGGAAUAUUGCGCAAUGGGGGAAACCCUGACGCAGCCAUGCCGCGUGAGUGAAGAAGGUCUUCGGAUUGUAAAGCUCUUUCAACGGGGAAGAUGAUGACGGUACCCGUAGAAGAAGCCCCGGCUAACUUCGUGCCAGCAGCCGCGGUAAUACGAAGGGGGCUAGCGUUGUUCGGAAUUACUGGGCGUAAAGGGCGUGUAGGCGGUGCGAUCAGUCAGAGGUGAAAGCCCCGGGCUCAACCUGGGAAUUGCCUUUGAUACUGUCACACUAGAGUUCGGGAGAGGGUAGUGGAAUUCCCAGUGUAGAGGUUAAAUUCGUAGAUAUUGGGAAGA